rnacentral:lncRNA from 1 species
AUAGAUUUUUUAUAAUUUUUUUAUAAUUUUGAUUAAACUUGAGAUGCUUUGACUUUCCAAAAUUCUUGGAAUGCUUUAUAAUUUGAGAUGGAGGGAGUAUCAUAUGUAUGUGCCAUCUUUCAUGGACCAUGGCAACUGGCAAACACAUUGUAUACCGGAGCUCAAGCGUGAGCUACUACACUAUCGAUUAUGGAUUUAUACUAGGUCACACUUUCGUUGCUUUCGUCUUGU